UCACUUCCGGCUGGCUUCAUUCUACUUCCGUCGAAGGGACGGGACUCCUCGAAGAGGCUAGGCUCAAGUCUUUCGAGCCCAGGCCCGCCCCCUCCCUGAAAGCACAGACGCCAAGCUCAGGAGAACCGCUGCUCUUUAUUGUGGUUCAGGAUAGGGCGCGGUCAGCACCGGGCCCCUCCAGGGUUUGCAGGGCCAGGGAUGCGGUCCUGCCAGGGGUAACCCGGCCCCGGAGGACGCCAGAUGGGUGGGACAGACGGGCCGAGGAGUCCUUAAAUAGAGAAGGGAGGUGGGGAGGGAGAGCCGGGCUGCGCUCUAGCGCACCAUGUAUUCCUUUCGCUUAUUGAGCCGAACUUGGCAGAAGGAGAAGCCGCCGAGGAGGAGGUAGAGGCCCGCGGCGAUGAAGCAGUUGUAGCUGACCUGCUCGUACAGGCUGUAUAUGUUCUGAGGGCCGUUCCUGGAGGGUGGCGAGUAAGCAGGGACAUGUCAGUCACCCAGCAUCCAAUAACACACGUAGUACUGUGCACCAGACACCAUGCUAAACGCGCUGACGUCUCUAAUAGUCUUCCUGACGAUCAUACGGGAUGGGUUCUAUCAUGGGAUCCAUUUUUGCAGAAGUAGAUGAAGGCUCAGGAAGGCAAAACAUUAGAAGAGGCCACAUCUAAGCUGGUGGGCUUGGGGUGGCCACGGAAGCCUAGUUUGCAAGACUGCUCCCAAAAUGCAUUUUUUAAAAACACUUUUUAUGCUGGGGAUUGGAACCAGGACCUUGCAUGUUAAGCACACGUUUGCCACUGAACUACUUUAUAGACAGCAGGCUCUCUUCGUGCAGUCCCCCACUUAAGGCCAUAAACGUCCAGCCUUCAGCAGUGUCUCCCACAUAAUUCUGAGCCCAGACCUUGCUACUUCUCAUCUGCGCCCAGGCUCGCCUAAGUCCCCGACCACUUACUCAAAAUCUUUCUCCGUGAAGGGAACGUCCUCAAUUAACACAGCGGAGUGGACAUUGAAAAAUAUCCCGAGCAUUAUCUGGAAGAACAAAGGUAUAGGCGCUGAGGACGAUGCCACAGGCGGCCAGCUUCGGCCCACAGCACAGGAGCGACGCCAUGGAGGAAGGAGGGAGGGAUUGCUAGAGACGGAAGAUCGAGGCGCAGAAGCGGCGAGAGGGAACCCUGGAGACGCCGGGGACACGGAGCUGGAUUUGGGGACUUGCGCGGCGCCGAGCGGCGGGGGCGUGGCCUUGGGCGCGGACCACUCUGAAGGGGCGGCGGGCAGGGAGCGCUGCGCCAGGCGGAGGGCCAAGCCUCGGGCGGAGGACGCGGGGCCAGAAUCCGAAGCAGCAACCCUGGGUACCUGGGAUAGAACGGAUCAUUCAGGUUCCAGCCGGAAGACACCCAGCCCCUCACACUGAUACUUCCUCCCAAUUGUUACUUCCCUGUCCUUGAUCCAUACUCACCAUGUCUGGCUGGAGGCGACCCAGAUGCCAUGUGAUGGUCAUUUGAAGACAGGACUUGUGAAUGUCAGUUUUUUCCAUCUGCACAAUGGAUGUAGUGGUGCAUGCAUGUAAUCCCAGCUCAGAGGCAGGAGGCUUGUGAGUUCCUGGCCAGCCCAGCCUACAGUGUGAUGGUAUUUGAACACAGGAGUCGCUGGAAGUUUAUAAGGUCAUGAGGUUGGAGCUCUCAUGAGAGAUGGCGGUGUUCUUAUGAGACAGGACGGACAUCUAGUUUGUUCUCUCUCUGCCAUGUGGUGCCAUGGAAGUCACUUGGGUCACCCGGAAGAGUGCCCAGCAGAACCCGAACAUGCAGGCACUCUGCCUCAGACCUUCAGCCUCCAGAAUGGUGAGAAAUAAACGUCUGAUAUUUAA